CUGCGGUAGGAUCAUUG
rnacentral:rRNA from 8 species